AUUAGCGUUAGCACUGGAGGCUUCUCCACUCCGCGACCUGCCGAUAUGUUUCUCUUACUUGAUGAGCACUGCGCACUUCAUACUAUAUCUAAAAUUUAAACUAAAAAAAAAACCUAAAGAACCAAAUAUUAUGAUUAAUGUACUACCUACAUGUAAUUUAUUGGAUAUGAACUUGUUUGUCUGUCUGUCUGUCUGUCUGUCACAACGUCCGCGACCUACUGAAGGGCUGAUUUAUGAAUUUAUUUUGUAUUUAUAUACAAAACUUGGAAACUAACAAGCUGAUGAUGAAUUUUUAUAUCAUUUUUUAAACUAAAAAAAUAUUUUUUUUUUGUAAUUUUUUUUUAAAUCAACUAUAAUAAGUACUGUUUAGCGUAAGAACAAUUAUUAUUGCUUGAUUUUUAUAUUGUUUAAGCACAAAAAAAUACUAAAGAACAAGUCUAUUUUAAAAAUUAUUUAUCCAUUUAAGAAUUUGUCUAAAAAAAACUGCUAGAAAUUACGGUUUUUGUAUGUUAUAUAAUUUUAUAAAAUAGAAAAUUAUGUUCUUAUUCGCGCAAAAAUAAAAUAUAUUAUUUGUACGUAUUAUUCCUCUGUUUUUAUAUUAAAAAAAAUGGCGGUUUAAAUUGUUUUGUAAAUUAAAAAUGUAUUUAGGGUUACCAUAAAACCUAAAUAAUUGAACUAUUUUGGUAAAAUACAGCAUUAAAGGCCUAUUUGGUUUCAAGUGCAUGGCAACCCUGAAUAUAUUUUUCUUUAUAUUUCUACAUAAUUUGGCACAGAAAUAUUGUGAAAGUUUAAAUCUGACAUUUAAUAAAUAAUUUAAUUUGUACAGCCCCACUUGUUAUCUGCCUGUCUGUCCCUUUCUCGUAUUCGACUUGAAGAUUGACGUGUAACUUUUUACAAGACAUGCCAAAUAUAAAGUAACAAAUUAAAUUUAUUAUGUUGUUUAUUUUAUUCGUUUCUAAAAUGAUGAUUAUUGUGAAAAAAACAAACUUGUAAAUUUUCGUAAAUCGAAUCGCACAAGAUUCACGCACAUUCGUACUAAAGACAACAUUUUGUCGUUUUAAAAUAAUUCUCGAGUAAUGCAAAUAGACAAAACAUAUUGCGCGCGAAAAAUUACAUCUCUUUACGCUAUAAAAAUGGCCGUAAUUUUUGGAACGAUUACGUUUUUCGAGUAAACAUUAUUUCGUGAAAUUGACAACUUCUUUUUAUAUUAUGUAGUGUUUACAACAUUUUUGUACCUUUACAAUAAACUUAAAAUUCAUUCAUUACUGAGAAAAAUACUUAAAUGAUAUAAAUACAAUGAAAAUUGCGCCAAAAAGUUCGCGCCCAAAUUAAACCUGAAGAGAACUACGGUUAGUUUUAAGUCUAUGGGUGUAGAGAAUGGGCUAUGGUUUGCCUUUAAAUUAAAAAAAAAAUCCUACACCCAAAAGAAUGAUAACUUUGUGUUGCUUUUCUAUUUAUAAAAUUGUUUGGAAAAUUAUAAUUAUUGUUUCAGUAUUUUUUUCGAAUUAAGCACAAAUAAUUUAUAUAUGUCGGCUUUUUUGCUAUCGCGUUGUUUUUUUUUUAAUUAAGCAUCUUUGUCUUAGAUAAGUUAUGUAGAUGUAUAAUUAAGGUGAAACCACAGACUAAAGCACAUUGGAUAUGCUUAAUUUGACUUUAUAAUGUGUUUUAACAAAAAUAUAUAAUACUUAAACAUUUUCAGAUGUCACAAUUUGUCGAAAAUAUCGGACUUUUCAAAGUUUCAACAAUCCGGUUAUAAUUUUAUUCACUUAUAAAGAUGGAGAAUCGAUUACAUUUUGCUUUCAGUCGGGCCCAUCGACAACGAGCAAUGACUUUUCUUAUAUGAUAUGCCUUUAUUUGCUUCAAGGAUUGGAAUUUAUGUUUUAUGCCAAUACAGUGAGACAGAAUCGCUCAAAAUCAUUACUGGAAUAAUGUUAUCAUUUGUGUCCAUGCCAGGACAGCGUCACUGUUUUACUGUACUGGUAUAAUGGAAGCCAAGCAUCAAUGAUCAUCUCUUACAGUAAGACAUUGUAAAAUGCAUGAUAAGAGGUCACUCUAGAAAUUAUUGAGGGUUGAGAUUUAACAUCUUUGAUGACAAGGGCUGUGGUUAGAGGUGACUAACAAGUAAAGUUCAAGGUUCACAGGAUUUGUUUUUUUUUAUUCAAGUGAAUAAAUAUUAAUUUACAUGUAGAUGCAUAUAUUCCAUGCUCAAUUUACAAUCGCGGAAAUGUUACGUUGACAGAAAUAAUUUGACAUAUUCCUUGUAUUUGUAUCUCGUAGGCAUAUCAAGCAAUUUGCUCCCACUUUUUAUUACUGUUUACACCAAAUCAUAGAGUUUUGUAAGUUUUUUUUUCAUGUUAGGGCAAAUUGAUAUCCAAACAACAUGCAUCUAAUCGUCUGUGUAAUGAAUAUUUCGCAUUAUGAAUAUUAUUUUCAUCUGUCCAAUGCAGUUUCCAAGCAGCCAGAAUUAUCAAGUUCGAAAAUCAAAAUACGUCAUUAUAACAACUGUCAACGAUGACAGAUAUUUUGGCGGGAAUUCUCAUUGAACAGAUUAUGAAACGUAAUUUCGGAGUUAAGCUAUGGUGUGCUAGUUCUACGCAUAGUGAAUAAGACUUUUUUAAAUGAUAACAAUUUUUUUCUACUAUAACGGCUUCUUUUCCUAUCGGUGUAUCGAUAACUCUUAGAAUUAUAUAUUGUAUGUAUAUGUACGACGGUAUUUAAUGGAAAGUUUGAAAGCUCCAUAUUUUUAUUUCUAUUCAGACCAAUUUUUCUCACUUUUACAUCGUGUUAUUGGAAUGGACUGCCAUAUUUUAUCCUUAAACUGUAAUUUAUAUACUUAAACAGGGCUAUGUGCAUCCGGACUUUGGAUUUUUGAUGGGCAACAUUAAAUUUAAAAUAAAAUAAACUUUCAAAAUAAGAGCGGGACUUCGAAUAUAUUUUGACAGUCCGCCAUUACGCGUUCAGAAAUGAAAUUCUGUCGUCAAAUCCUAACCAAUGUAAUGCCCUUACAUCUGAUAAAUAAAAGAAAAACGAAGGAUGUGUAAAUUAAUUUUUAUUUGCUAGUCCACGUCUUUGAUAUGUUAAAAAUAAUUAUUCUUAGUCGUGUAAUACUAAAUGUAUUGUGUAAAAUAUUUUUUUUUUUAGUUAUUAUCAAUAAAUUAAAUUUUGUUUAUUUUA